AUUCCUACGGGAGGCAGCAGGGGGGAAUAUUGCACAAUGGGCGCAAGCCUGAUGCAGCCAUGCCGCGUGUGUGAAGAAGGCCUUCGGGUUGUAAAGCACUUUCAGCGGGGAGGAUGGGUCACUAGCUAAUACCUAGUGACAUUGACGUUACUCGCAGAAGAAGCACCGGCUAACUCCGUGCCAGCAGCCGCGGUAAUU
rnacentral:rRNA from 1 species